rnacentral:rRNA from 1 species
CCUACGGGUGGCAGCAGUGAGGAAUAUUGGUCAAUGGGCGAGAGCCUGAACCAGCCAAGUCGCGUGAAGGAUGACGGCCCUACGGGUUGUAAACUUCUUUUGUCAGGGAGCAAUUGAGUCCACGUGUGGGCUUAGCGAGAGUACCUGAAGAAAAAGCAUCGGCUAACUCCGUGCCAGCAGCCGCGGUAAUACGGAGGAUGCGAGCGUUACCGGUAUUUAUUGGGUUAAAAGGGUGCGUGGCAGGAAGGUCAAGUCAGCGGUAAAAAUUCGGGGCUCAACCCCGUCGUGCCGUUGAAACUGAUGUUCUUGAGUGGGCGAGAAGUAUGCGGAAUGCGUGGUGUAGCGGUGAAAUGCAUAGAUAUCACGCAGAACUCCGAUUGCGAAGGCAGCAUACCGGCGCCCAACUGACGCUGAAGCACGAAAGCGUGGGUAUCGAACAGGAUUAGAUACCCUUGUAGUC